rnacentral:rRNA from 1 species
AUUGAACGCUGGCGGCAGGCCUAACACAUGCAAGUCGAACGAGUGGCGGAAGGGUGAGUAAUGUCUGGGAAACUGCCUGAUGGAGGGGGAUAACUACUGGAAACGGUAGCUAAUACCGCAUACCAUCGGAUGUGCCCAUAUGGGAUUAGCUAGUAGGUGGGGGAAAGGCUAACCUAGGCGACGAUCCCUAGCUGGUCUUAGAGGAUGAACAGCCCCACUGGAACUUGGACACGGUCCAGAGUCAUACGGGAGGCAGCAGUGGGGAAUAGUGCACAAUGGGCGCAAGCCUGAGGCAGCCAUGCCGCGUGUAUUAAGAAGGCCUUCGGUUUGUAAAGCACUUUCAGCGAGGAGGCGUUACUCGCAGAAGAAGCACCGGCUAACUCCGUGCCAGCCGCCGCGGUAAUAC